rnacentral:rRNA from 1 species
CACGUAGGGUGCGAGCGUUUGUCCGGAAUUAUUGGGCGUAAAGAGCUCGUAGGCGGUGUGUCGCGUCGGCCGUGAAAACCUGCAGCUUAACUGUGGGCUUGCGGUCGAUACGGGCAUCACUGGAGUUCGGCAGGGGAGACUGGAAUUCCUGGUGUAGCGGUGAAAUGCGCAGAUAUCAGGAGGAACACCGGUGGCGAAGGCGGUUCUCUGGGCCGUAACUGACGCUGGAG